GAUGAACGCUGGCGGCGUGCCUAAUACAUGCAAGUCGAGCGAACAGAUGAGAAGCUUGCUUCUCUGAUGUUAGCGGCGGACGGGUGAGUAACACGUGGGUAACCUACCUAUAAGACUGGGAUAAAUCCGGGAAACCGGGGCUAAUACCGGACAAUAUUUUGAAUCGCAUGGUUCAAUAGUGAAAGACGGUUUCGGCUGUCACUUAUAGAUGGAGCAGAGCCGGAUUAGCUAGUUGGUAAGGUAACGGCUUACCAAAGCGACGAUGCGUAGCCGACCUGAGGGGGUGAUCGGCACCACUGGAACUGAGACACGGUCCAAACUCCUACGGGAGGCAGCAGUAGGGAAUCUUCCGCAAUGGGCGAAAGCCUGACGGAGCAACGCCGCGUGAGUGAUGAAGGUCUUCGGAUCGUAAAACUCUGUUGUUAGGGAAGAACAAAUUUGUUAGUAACUGAACAAGUCUUGACGGUACCUAACCAGAAAGCCACGGCUAACUACGUGCCAGCAGCCGCGGUAA
rnacentral:rRNA from 1 species